CAGAGAGAGUGGAAGGUCAUAAAUACAAGUGUUGGAGUCUUGGAUAAGGCAAGGAGGAAGACAUAAAAAGAAGAAAUGAUUCAAGUAAAACAGUGCAGUACGCAGGCCUCCCUGUCUCCCAGUUUAAACUCUCAUGCUCUUCUGCUUUCUACUGUAUUUCUUCUAUAUUCAUCAAGAAGUCCUUUCGGAGAACAGGACACCCCCUGCGAUCACCACGCAUCCAUCACAGAAGAGGGGACACCAGCUACAUUUCACACUUGC
rnacentral:lncRNA from 1 species